GCAGUCGAGCGGUAGAGAGAAGCUUGCUUCUCUUGAGAGCGGCGGACGGGUGAGUAAUGCCUAGGAAUCUGCCUGGUAGUGGGGGAUAACGUUCGGAAACGGACGCUAAUACCGCAUACGUCCUACGGGAGAAAGCAGGGGACCUUCGGGCCUUGCGCUAUCAGAUGAGCCUAGGUCGGAUUAGCUAGUUGGUGAGGUAAUGGCUCACCAAGGCGACGAUCCGUAACUGGUCUGAGAGGAUGAUCAGUCACACUGGAACUGAGACACGGUCCAGACUCCUACGGGAGGCAGCAGUGGGGAAUAUUGGACAAUGGGCGAAAGCCUGAUCCAGCCAUGCCGCGUGUGUGAAGAAGGUCUUCGGAUUGUAAAGCACUUUAAGUUGGGAGGAAGGGUUGUAGAUUAAUACUCUGCAAUUUUGACGUUACCGACAGAAUAAGCACCGGCUAACUCUGUGCCAGCAGCCGCGGUAAUACAGAGGGUGCAAGCGUUAAUCGGAAUUACUGGGCGUAAAGCGCGCGUAGGUGGUUUGUUAAGUUGGAUGUGAAAUCCCCGGGCUCAACCUGGGAACUGCAUUCAAAACUGACUGACUAGAGUAUGGUAGAGGGUGGUGGAAUUUCCUGUGUAGCGGUGAAAUGCGUAGAUAUAGGAAGGAACACCAGUGGCGAAGGCGACCACCUGGACUAAUACUGACACUGAGGUGCGAAAGCGUGGGGAGCAAACAGGAUUAGAUACCCUGGUAGUCCACGCCGUAAACGAUGUCAACUAGCCGUUGGAAGCCUUGAGCUUUUAGUGGCGCAGCUAACGCAUU
rnacentral:rRNA from 1 species